UACGUAGGUCCCGAGCGUUGUCCAGAUUUAUUGCGCGUAAAGCGAGCGCAGGUGGUUUAUUAAGUCUGGUGUAAAAGGCAGUGGCUCAACCAUUGUAUGCAUUGGAAACCGGUAGACUUGAGUGCAGGAGAGGAGAGUGGAAUUCCAUGUGUAGCGGUGAAAUGCGUAGAUAUAUGGAGGAACACCGGUGGCGAAAGCGGCUCUCUGGCCUGUAACUGACACUGAGGCUCGAAAGCGUGGGGAGCAAACAGG
rnacentral:rRNA from 1 species